AUAGACUGUGAGUUGCGAACGGGUGAGUAACGCGUAGGUAACCUGCCUAUUAGAGGGGGAUAACUAUUGGAAACGAUAGCUAAUACCGCAUAACAGUAUGUAACACAUGUUAGAUGCUUGAAAGAUGCAAUUGCAUCGCUAGUAGAUGGACCUGCGUUGUAUUAGCUAGUAGGUAGGGUAAUGGCCUACCUAGGCGACGAUACAUAGCCGACCUGAGAGGGUGAUCGGCCACACUGGGACUGAGACACGGCCCAGACUCCUACGGGAGGCAGCAGUAGGGAAUCUUCGGCAAUGGGGGGAACCCUGACCGAGCAACGCCGCGUGAGUGAAGAAGGUUUUCGGAUCGUAAAGCUCUGUUGUUAAGGAAGAACGAGUGUGAGAAUGGAAAGUUCAUACUGUGACGGUACUUAACCAGAAAGGGACGGCUAACUACGUGCCAGCAGCCGCGGUAAUACGUAGGUCCCGAGCGUUGUCCGGAUUUAUUGGGCGUAAAGCGAGCGCAGGCGGUUAGAAAAGUCUGAAGUGAAAGGCAGUGGCUCAACCAUUGUAGGCUUUGGAAACUGUUUAACUUGAGUGCAGAAGGGGAGAGUGGAAUUCCAUGUGUAGCGGUGAAAUGCGUAGAUAUAUGGAGGAACAC
rnacentral:rRNA from 1 species